GGUCUAAUGGUGUAGUGGUUAUCACGCCUGUCUUACAAUUCCAUGUUGCGAGCACAGUAGGUCGCAGGUUCGAGCCCUGCUUAGAUCA